AGAGAUGUGUGAUGACGCAUAUCAAUAAGCGGAGGAAAAGAAACUAACAAGGAUUCCCUAGUAACGGCGAGUGAAGCGGGAAGAGCUCAAAUUUGAAAUCUUAAAGGUUCUACCUUGACGAAUUGUAGUUUAUAGGAGUGUUUUCUGUUAGUGGAGUUCGGUAAAAGUUCUUUGGAAUAGGACAUCAUAGAGGGUGAGAAUCCCGUAUUUGACCGUUACUUUCACUAACUGUGUGAUACACUUUCAAAGAGUCGGAUUGUUUGGGAAUGCAGUCCAAAAUGGGUGGUAAAUUUCAUCUAAAGCUAAAUAUUGGCGAGAGACCGAUAGCGAACAAGUACCGUGAGGGAAAGAUGAAAAGAACUUUGAAAAGAGAGUUAAACAGUACGUGAAAUUGUCAAAAGGGAAGCGUUUGACACCAGUGUUGUUUUUCGAAAAUCAAUUACGAAUAGUUUUGAUUUUAAGUAAGUAUUGACUUCAUCGGCUUGCUUCUUUCUUUUCAGAAAUUAUUGAAUGCACUUUUCAGUUAACAAGUCAACAUCAAUUUCUUUUGUUGUAAAAGGGUAAGAGGAAGGUGGCUUACGCUUCGGCGUAAGUGUUUAUAGCCUUUUACCUCUGCAAUCGGAGAGAUUGAGGUCUGCAGCGUAGAUCCUUCGGGGUUAGAUACAUUUGUGCUAAGCUAUAGCCUUGUAUAGACAACUUGUUGACUAUGCUCAGUCAUGUAGCUUACUCGCUUAUGCUAUUUUACCUACGCUUAGGAUGUUGACGAUCAGCUGAGCGCG
rnacentral:rRNA from 1 species